UUAAAGCCUCCCGCUUACACCGGAACAAUAUCUGUUUAACCCAGAUCAUUUUGAGCCUCAAAUCUAGCCUACUAACUCCCUAUGCACCUACCAUCCCCCGGCCAUCAAAUAAAACAUUCUAACAUUAUAGUACAGGAGAUCAAAAAAUUUCUAAGCGCUUUAGAUAAAGUACCUUAAGGGAACAAUGAAAUAAAAUGAAAUACUUUAAAGCCCCAAGUAGCAGAGAUUUAACCUCGUACCUUUUGCAUCAUGGUCUAGCCAGUCUAACCAAGCAAAAAGAAAAUUUAAGUUUGCCUCCCCGAAACUAAGCGAGCUACUUCAAAACAGCCCCUGGGGCAAACCCAUCUCUGUUGCAAAAGAGUGGGAAGAUUUUCAAGUAGAGGUGAUAGACCUAACGAGCUUAGAGAUAGCUGGUAAUUCAGAAAACGAGUCUAAGCUCAACCUUAAGUUUUACUGUUACACUAAAAACCCCAUUUAAACUUAAGAGCUACUCAAAUAAGGCACAGCUUAUUUGAAACAGGACACAACCUAAAACAUUGGGUAAACUGGGACGCCCUCAAGUUAAGUAGGCCUAAAAGCAGCCAUCUUUAAAAAAGCGUUAUAGCUUACUCUCCCAUGCCCCUAAUUCCUUCCUUUUUCCCUCAACCCUUAAUACCUACUGAAUUAUUUUAUUCUAAUAUAAAAGUAAUUAUGCUAGAACUAGUAACAAGAAAUUGAAUUUCUCCUAAAUGUAAGUAUAAACCACAACGGACCGUCCACUGGCAAUUAACGUCUAUGUACCCCCUAUAACACCCCCCGCUCAAGAAAACCCUAUUAACUUCAACGUUAACCUUACACUAGAACAUUCCAGGAAAGAUUAAAAAAGAAAGAAGGAACUCGGCAAAUUUUAGCCCCGCCUGUUUACCAAAAACAUCGCCUCUUGACACAAUAUAAGAGGUCUAGCCUGCCCAGUGACAGAGUUUAACGGCUACGGUAUCCCUGACCGUACGAAGGUAGCAUAAUCACUUGUCCCUUAAAUAGGGGCCUGUAUCAACGGCAUCACGAGGGCUGCACUGUCUCCUCUCUUCAAUCAGUGAAACUGAUCCUCCCGUGAAGAAGCGGGAAUUCAUUUAUAAGACGAGAAGACCCCAUGGAGCUUUAAGCAAGCUCUCACACUAUCAACACAUCUUUUAACUACAAGCUCUGAGUGCAAGUUUUAGGUUGGGGGGACCGCGGAGAACAACUAAACCUCCGUGACAAAUAGCCCUAAGCCCUUAUCUACGAGCAACAGCUCUAAGAAUCAGUACACUGAUGAUUAUGACCCGAUACUAUUCGA
rnacentral:rRNA from 1 species